rnacentral:rRNA from 1 species
UAGGGAAUCUUCGGCAAUGGGGGCAACCCUGACCGAGCAACGCCGCGUGAGUGAAGAAGGUUUUCGGAUCGUAAAGCUCUGUUGUAAGUCAAGAACGAGUGUGAGAGUGGAAAGUUCACACUGUGACGGUAGCUUACCAGAAAGGGACGGCUAACUACGUGCCAGCAGCCGCGGUAAUAUGUAGGUCCCGAGCGUUGUCCGGAUUUAUUGGGCGUAAAGCGAGCGCAGGCGGUUUGAUAAGUCUGAAGUUAAAGGCUGUGGCUUAACCAUAGUUCGCUUUGGAAACUGUUUAACUUGAGUGCAGAAGGGGAGAGUGGAAUUCCAUGUGUAGCGGUGAAAUGCGUAGAUAUAUGGAGGAACACCGGUGGCGAAAGCGGCUCUCUGGUCUGUAACUGACGCUGAGGCUCGAAAGCGUGGGGAGCGAACAGGAUUAGAUACCCUGGUAGUCCACGCCGUAAACGAUGAGUGCUAGGUGUUGGAUCCUUUCCGGGAUUCAGUGCCGCAGCUAACGCAUUAAGCACUCCGCCUGGGGAGUACGACCGCAAGGUUG